CUUAGCGAUUCAGUGUGACAGCCCUUGCACGAAAACAAACAUCAUGGCGGUUACUGCUACUUUCCGACGCCCUGUUUAGGUGUUGGUUUCUCUCCCCCCCGCCACUCAAAACAUGAAGCAUUUCCGCCACUGCUGAGCUGAUGAGGCUUCACGAAACAGUAUCCUCAUUUUGAGCACAGUAGGAGGCGCUCUCGGCUUAAAGAUGACGUCAGGUUUCAUUCAAACAGUUUUUUUGAGAAGGAUUUUUGCGAAGAACGCCAUCAAGUGGGCUCUAAAAAUGAGCACACUGUUUCACGAAGCCUUAUCAAUCCAUCGCUAAAAUCUGCCGUCUUAGCACAAGUGGCUGAAGUGCUGGUUUAUGACGCCAGUAUUGAUGGAGUGGCACCCGGGAAAUGUCACCAGUUAUCACAACUGGACCUGGAAGACAAUAAAGAAAUGUAGUCGAGUCCGUAAGGAUAUUUGGGCAGGUUCUUAUUAUCAUGCAACCAAGAACAAUAUUUCAAAGACCCAAACAAUUCUUGCAUCUGAGCGCACUCACGAGCGUCUGACCUUCUUCUUUCAUGUCUCCGCAGAAAGAUUCUCUUCAAACAAACGCUUCCUCUGCGGCAGCACUUCAGAGCCCGCCGACAACAUUCCUCCACACAAAACCUGGACCGUCUCCGGCUUUAACUGCUCACUGAGGACACUGAAUAUUUUUCAAUCACUUCACUCUUAAUGUCCCUGAAUGCUCAGCGUGACGACAUGGUUCCCUGCACAGACCUGCACUAAAUGGAUUUCCAUUAGAGGGUGCAGGAGCGAUGCGGCUUUGCCUCGUGUGGGCACCGUAGCAGAAAGUUCCCUCCAUGCAGAACAGCAGGGACGACAAUACAAACACUCCUGUGAGGACACACAAACGCACGGCGGUGAGAUGGAUGUCAACACUGCGGUGACGUCUUUGAUCUAACAAGGUGUGACUGUGAGUCCUCCGACGAUUACGCCUGACCGAUUCUUCAUGCUUUUGCCUUUUCAUUGUGUCUACUUCAGAAAAGUACACAGAUAUUACUGUACAUCAAGUUGUAAGUCAAAGGGAAAAAACAUGGCAAGCGAUGCUUUCAUGAACUCAUCUAAAACUUAAAGCAGAACCUCAAACCUUUUAUAUCUCACAAUGGAAUCAAUUCCAACAGCAGUGUCGCAGUGCAUUCUGGGAAUUCUGUAGUAAUAU